AUGUCUUACAAUCUCAUAGUACAGACCGUGCUCCACCUGAGGUACGCCCGAUCUCAUGCCAAGCUAACUACGGUUCUGUCGUUUUGGAAAAGGCAUGAACUUUCCUUUGUGCCUGCAACCAUAGGUUCCAUCAUCAUUACCUUGCCUGUAUAUGGACAGCUUGCACUCUUUAGGACUGAUAGAUGUGAAAUUAUUAGAUCUUUGCAUCAAUUACAGGAACAACACAAUGUAAGAUAUGCAAGUUUAUCAAGAGGAAUGCAAAGAAAAAAAGCACAUGUAUGGUUUAUUUGGCAUCACCAGCUUUUGUGUUUUCAGUGUACAUCUUAG
rnacentral:rRNA from 1 species